CCCUUCCCCACUUUGGGAAGUGGGAUUUGUUAUCAAACACCAUCUUUACAUGGGCACACCACCCCAAACCCGAGCUCUCCUUGCUCUCCUCCCAUUUUGGGGUGUCCAAACCCAGCAGGAUCUCAUUCUCAUUGUGGAACAUCCCCACAAACACCACAAACCCCAGAAACCCCAAACCCCCACGUUGGGAAGUGGAGUUUGUCAUCAAACACCAUCUUUACAUGGGCACACCUCCCCAAACCCGAGCUCUCCUUGCUCUCCUUCCAUUUUGGGGUGCCCAAACCCAGCAGGAUCUCAUUCUCAUUGUGGAGCAUCCCCACAAACCCCAAAACUCCCAUGGCUGCCCAGUGUCACCCCAGGGUUUUCCAUCAGCUCGUUCUCAUUGUGGAGCAUCCCCACAAACCCUUGCCCACUUUGGGAAGUGGGGUUUGUUAUUAAACACCCUCUUUACAUGGGCACACCACCCCAAACCCCAGCUCUCCUUGCUCUCUCCCAUUUUGGGGCACCCAAACCCAGCAGGAUCUCAUUCUUCAGCAUGGAGCAUCCCCACAAACCCUUCCCCACUUUGGGAAGUGGGAUUUGUUAUCAAACACCAUCUUUACAUGGGCACACCACCCCAAACCCCAGCUCUCCUUGCUCUCUCCCAUUUUGGGGCACCCAAGCCUAUCAGGAUCUCAUUCUCCAGCAUGGACCAUCCCCACAAACCCCACAAACCCUUCCCUGCUCUCCUUCCAUUUUGGGGUGUCCAAACCCAGCAGGAUCUCCUUCUCAUUAUGGAGCAUCCCCACACACCCCACAAACCCCACAGACUCCACAAACCCCAAACCCCCACAAACCCUUCCCUGCUCUCCUUCCAUUUUGGGGUGCCCAAACCCAGCAGGAUCUCAUUCUCAUUGUGGAGCAUCCCCACAAACCCCAAACCCCCACAAACACCACAAACCCCACAGACCCCACAACCCCCACAUCCCCACACACCCCACAAACCCCACAAACCCCAAACCCCCGAGGUUGCCCAGUGUCACCCCGGGUUUUUCCAUCCUCUCCAUCCCGCCCGAAGUGCACUCGCAGCGGUUUUCCCGCCGGGGAUUUUCAGCAUUAUCGAUCCCUGCGGGCCAUGGGCUGCCGUUGACCCUGGCACCGGGGCUGCCCCGCCUUUGUCGCCGCUGCUGUCGCGCUCAGCAGAUGGCUUUUGUUCCUGACCAGCGCUGCUCAUCCCAUUGUGCGGGGUUGGCGGGUGUGCCCCAUCCCGGCCUGCCCUGCCACACUGCCCCUCCUUCCCCGGCCUGGCAACACCACAAGGAGCUGCUUUGCUUUGCUUUUUAAUUUUUUUCCUUUUUUUUCCUUUUUUUUUUUAUUCCUCCUCCUUCUCCCCAGGGGUCUGUCUGGAUUAUUUCUGAAGCUGCUUUCUUUCUUCUGUGAAAGUAAGCCAGGGAAAAUAGAUUUAAUUUUAUUUUUUGGGGUAGCUUUUCUUGGGCGACACCUGGGUCCCACCUUGGCUAAAUCAGCAUCAAUC
rnacentral:lncRNA from 1 species